UACGAAGGGGGCUAGCGUUGCUCGGAAUGACUGGGCGUAAAGGGCGCGUAGGCGGUUUGUACAGUCAGAUGUGAAAUUCCCGGGCUCAACCUGGGGGCUGCAUUUGAUACGUAUGGACUUGAGUUCGGAAGAGGGUCGUGGAAUUCCCAGUGUAGAGGUGAAAUUCGUAGAUAUUGGGAAGAACACCGGUGGCGAAGGCGGCGACCUGGUCCGAUACUGACGCUGAGGCGCGAAAGUGUGGGGAGCAAACAGG
rnacentral:rRNA from 1 species